CUACGUGCCAGCAGCCGCGGUAAUACGGAGGAUGCGAGCGUUAUCCGGAUUUAUUGGGUUUAAAGGGUGCGUAGGUUGUUCGGUAAGUCAGCGGUGAAACCUGAGCGCUCAACGUUCAGCCUGCCGUUGAAACUGCCGGGCUUGAGUUCAGUGGCGGCAGGCGGAAUUCGUGGUGUAGCGGUGAAAUGCAUAGAUAUCACGAGGAACUCCGAUUGCGAAGGCAGCUUGCCAUACUGCGACUGACACUGAAGCACGAAGGCGUGGGUAUCAAACAGGAUUAGAUACCCUGGUAGUCCACGCAGUAAACGAUGAUUACUAGGAGUUUGCGAUAUACCGUCAAGCUUCCACAGCGAAAGCGUUAAGUAAUCCACCUGGGGAGUACGCCGGCAACGGUGAAACUCAAAGGAAUUGACGGGGGCCCGCACAAGCGGAGGAACAUGUGGUUUAAUUCGAUGGUACGCGAGGAACCUUACCCGGGAUUGAA
rnacentral:rRNA from 1 species